rnacentral:rRNA from 1 species
AUGCCGCGUGUGUGAAGAAGGCCUUCGGGUUGUAAAGCACUUUCAGUCAGGAGGAAAGGUUAGCGGUUAAUACCCGUUAGCUGUGACGUUACUGACAGAAGAAGCACCGGCUAACUCCGUGCCAGCAGCCGCGGUAAUACGGAGGGUGCGAGCGUUAAUCGGAAUUACUGGGCGUAAAGCGUACGCAGGCGGUUUGUUAAGCGAGAUGUGAAAGCCCCGGGCUCAACCUGGGAACUGCAUUUCGAACUGGCAAACUAGAGUGUGAUAGAGGGUGGUAGAAUUUCAGGUGUAGCGGUGAAAUGCGUAGAGAUCUGAAGGAAUACCGAUGGCGAAGGCAGCCACCUGGGUCAACACUGACGCUCAUGUACGAAAGCGUGGGGAGCAAACAGGAUUAGAUACCCUGGUAGUCCACGCCGUAAACGAUGUCUACUAGAAGCUCGGCUCUUCGGAGUUGUUUUUCAAGCUAACGCAUUAAGUAGACCGCCUGGGGAGUACGGCCGCAAGGUUAAAACUCAAAGAAUUGACGGA